AAAAAAAAUCCAAGAGGUAAACAUUAUGUUAACUUGAUCUGAAUGUUUUGUCUUUAAAUUUUCACUUAUAAGUUCUUCAACUAAAAAUAAUCUUCUUUUUGCACAUAGGCUGGAAUCUUUGAUUUCUACUUCCAAACCUGAUACAUCACAUGGCCAUAUGAUUUCUAAUUGAAAAGGUGCAGCUCUGGUUGGUAAAGUGUUGGUGUAAGCUCUCCAAAUGCAGAUACGAACCUUUCCUGGGAUCUUUGCUUCCACAUAUGCUUCCUGGGAUCUUUGCUUCCAUAUAUGCUUCCAUAAGUCUUUGAAUGGGUCACCAUUUGAGGAAUUUGUAAGAACAUCUCCCAUAACCUUUGUUCUCGCUAUCCAAUAAGCAGUCUUGACUGAGUAGUUACCUCUCUUUUCCGGGCUCCAACACAACCUGUCUGCUUUGCCUCUGCUACUAAGAGAUAUUCACAUGAUCUUCUGUGCAAUGCAUAAGGGAAGGCUGUGUGUAGAGCUGCAGAACACCAUUCCCUCUGCUACCAAGAGAUAUUCACAUGAUCUUCUGUGCAAUGCAUAAGGGAAGGCUGUGUGUAGAGCUGCAGAACACCAUUGCUUCGAGCUAGUGUCAAUAAGGUCAGACACUAGCUCAAAGAUACAAUUGGCAGGCUUCUGCACCAUGUAGCUUGGACAAUUCAGUAUCCAUUGCUCUCUCUUCAACAUUCCGUUGCACUCCCGCCUGAAGCACUGGUCUUGCAUUUAUUAUACGUCUCCAAGAAAACAAAGGAGAGUCUCCCAGCUGAGCAUCCACCCCUGCUUGGCAAGCAUCGCUAGAUUAUAGGUAUGCAAAUUCUUGAAACCCAUUCCAUGUUCUUUUUUUGUGAGACAAAGCCACUCCCAGCUCUUCCAAUGAAUUCUUUUUUUCUCAUCUGUAUCACCCCAAAAGAACGAUGCACAAAGCUUAUGAAUGUCAUCACAGAGGCUUUGAGGGAGCAUGUAACAGUUCAUUGCAUAUAAUGGCAUUGUUUGAGCAAUAGCCUUUAUCAGAACUUACCGGCUGCACUCAAAAUCUUUGUUUUCCAACUCACUAAUUUUUGUGUCUCUCUCUCUCUUUGAUAUAUUCAAAAAUAUCUGUCUUGUUCCGACCUACACGCACCACACGCACUGGGAGACCCCAAUUAACAAUCAUGCUCGUGAACACAUCGCACUAGAAAAAUUGCUGCCGACAUAACUUGCUGCUCUACUGCCACAUUCUUAUUAAACACAAUACUGCUCUUCAGAUAAUUUAUUUUUUGGCCGGCAGCUUUCUCAUAGAUGUCCAAAAUGCCACGGUAUUGCAUACAUUCCACUUCAUUGGCUGAUCCAUAUAAGAUAUUGUCAUCUGCAAAAAAAAAA
rnacentral:lncRNA from 1 species